GCGGGGACUUAAAGGGAGCCUGAACACCCCCGCUCUGCGCCCCUGAUGAGGUAGUACCCAUAAAGAGAAAGAGAGCCUGGCGAUACAACCGUGUCUGGACAAAGGAUAUGAAAUGGACACGAGAGGGAAUUGCCACCAGCGAAGCACAGAGGGUGCCACUCCCCUCCAAAAAGGACCAACCCAAGCAGACUGGUGAGGAUCCAGACAAGGGCUCGUCAGAGACCUUAAACACAGCAUCUGGGAAACCUGACGAGG